GUGGUGUUGGUAGUAGUAGUAAUGAUGAUGGUAGGGAUAGCAGUUUAGUGAUGGUGGUGGUAGUAGUAAUGAUGAUGGUAGUGAUAGCAGUUUAGUGAUGGUGGUGGUGGUAGUAGUAGUAAUGAUGAUGGUAGUGAUAGCAGUUUAGUGAAGGUGGUGGUGGUAGUAGUAGUAAUGAUGAUGGUAGGGAUAGCAGUUUAGUGAUGGUGGUGGUAGUAGUAAUGAUGAUGGUAGUGAUAGCAGUUUAGUGAAGGUGGUGGUGGUGAUAGUAGUAGUAAUGAUGAUGGUAGUGAUAGGAGUUUAGUGAAGGUUGUGGUGGUAGUAGUAAUAAUGAUGAUGGUAGUAAUAGCAGUUUAGUGAUGGGGUGGUAGUAGUAAUAAUGAUGAUGAUAGUGAUAGCAGUUUAGUGAUGGUGGUGGUAGUAGUAGUAAUGAUGAUGGUAGUGAUAGCAGUUUAGUGAUGGUGGUGGUAGAAGUAAUGAUGAUGGGAGUGAUAGCAGUUUAGUGAUGGUGGUGGUAGUAGUAGUAGUAAUCAAAUCAAAUCAAAUGUAUUUGUACAUCAGCUGAUAUCUCAAAGUGCUGUACAGAAACACAGCCUAAAACCCC
rnacentral:lncRNA from 13 species